rnacentral:rRNA from 1 species
UACAGAGGUCUCAAGCGUUGUUCGGAUUCAUUGGGCGUAAAGGGUGUGUAGGUGGCGCCGUAAGUCGGGGUGUGAAAUCUCGGGGCUUAACUCCGAAACUGCAUUCGAUACUGCGGUGCUUGAGGACUGGAGAGGAGACUGGAAUUCAUGGUGUAGCAGUGAAAUGCGUAGAGAUCAUGAGGAAGACCAGUGGCGAAGGCGGGUCUCUGGACAGUUCCUGACACUGAGACACGAAGGCCAGGGGAGCAAACGGG